UACGUAGGUGGCGAGCGUUGUCCGGAUUUACUGGGCGUAAAGGGCGUGCAGGCGGUUUGUUAAGUGCAGAGUGAAAGCUCCCGGCUCAACUGGGAGAGGUCUUUGCAUACUGGCAAACUCGAGGGAGGCAGAGGAAAGUGGAAUUCCCGGUGUAGUGGUGAUAUGCGUAGAUAUCGGGAGGAACACCGGUGGCGAAGGCGGGUCUCUGGGCCGGAUACUGACGCUGAGGAGCGAAAGCGUGGGGAGCGAACAGG
rnacentral:rRNA from 1 species